UGCUUCACAUUGCUAAUAUCUUCUUCCUCAGAUUGUCUGGGAUCCAACUCUGCACAGAUGGGUUGACAAAACUGAGCCCAAGGCUGAGAACAAGCUUGUACCACCAACUCCACCGAUGGGGAUGUAUGGAUUUCAGGGGAACCCUGGCAGUGUCCCCAAAGGAGUGAAUCCUUACUCCAUGAAAGCAGCAGGUCUAUGGGGCAGCAGAUACCCUACAAUGCAUUACACUGAUGGGACCAACUCAAAGCCUCCAAGCCAGGGGCCUGGACCACUUCCUCGA